rnacentral:rRNA from 1 species
CCUACGGGAGGCAGCAGUGGGGAAUAUUGGGCAAUGGGCGCAAGCCUGACCCAGCAACGCCGCGUGAAGGCAGAAGGCUUUCGGGUCGUAAACUUCUUUUGUCAGGGAAGAGUAGAAGACGGUACCUGAAGAAUAAGCCACGGCUAACUACGUGCCAUCAGCCGCGGUAAUACGUAGGUGGCAAGCGUGGUCCGGAUUUAAUGGGGGUAAAGGGCGUGUAGCCGGGUUGACAAGUCAGAUGUGAAAUCCUGCGGCUUAACCGCAGAACUGCAUUUGAAACUGUUGAUCUUGAGUACUGGAGGGGCAGAUGGAAUUCCUAGUGUAGCGGUGAAAUGCGUAGAUAUUAGGAGGAACCCCAGUGGCGAAGGCGGUCUGCUGGACAGCAACUGACGGUGAGGCGCGAAAGCGUGGGGAGCAAACAGGAUUAGAUACCCGAGUAGUC